AAGGGGGAAAAGGAGCAGACAGACAACGCGUCUACGGCAAAUGGAAUUAGAGGGAAGAAACAGCAGAGAGAUAAAAGGGCUCUGGGGUCUUUUGAUGAUCCUCUUGUCUCCUUUAUCUGCUGCAGACAUCAACCAGACUCCUCUCGCCUGACUGUGGAAAGCAAAGGGAAACCCCGCCCAGCUCCCUCCCCAGCUUUGCCCUUUUCCUUGCAUGACCUGCAGCCGAGGCGGCGAGCGCUCCGUUUAUCAGAUACAUUACAGACCCCAGCUGGUACAGUAAAGAUCGCGUUUAGUUUCAAACAGCCACGGCUCCGCCAGCCUAUAACAGAUGGGGAAGGGAGGGGAGGGGAAGGGAAGGGAAGGGAAAGGAAGGAGGGAGGAAAGGGGAGAGAGAAACGGGGGAAGGGGGUGAAGAGAGACACACGCCAGGCAGGCAGGCAGGCAGGCAGGCAGGCAGCCACCACCCCGAGCCCCCGCAGCCCCCCGCAGCCCUCCUCGUCCGCCUCGCCCGGGACCGGGGCAGCCCCGGCAGCCCCCCCUGCCCUGCCCGCUGCCCUCACCGCCGCCCCGAGCCCCCCGUCCCCUCCCCGGGGCUCCCCCCCUCGCUGGGGAGGAGGGCGCCGAGCCGCCGUGGCGCAGCCCGGGCAGGGGGGAGCCGCUCGCCUUGCCGAGGCCGCAGACGAAGCGGGGGGGGCCCGCUCCCGCCGCGGCUCCGUCCCCGUCCCCCGCCGCCGCCGCCUGUGUCCGGCCGAGCCAUGGAGAUGGCUCGGGGCGGGGGGAGAGAGGGGCUCAUCCGCCGCCCACGUGACUGGACGUGUCACUCACCCGGCCGGCGCCAUCUUGAAGAGGGAGGGGGGGACGCGCUGCCCCCGGCGGGUAGUCAAGAUGGCGCGGGCCGGCGGAAGGGGAGGGGGGGGGCGCUAUUCACAGAAGGGCGCUGCGCCGCGCCGCCGCAGCUCUGCCCCUCGCUUCCCGCCGGGCUGCGCAGGAGGGCGUUACGCUGGCGUGCGGGGGGUGGCGGCAGGGAGAGGCUCCCGCUCUCGAUCCGGGGCUCCCCGCGAGAGGCGGGAAAAGCCGCGGGCGGGGCGGGAGGCGGCACCCGGCACCCCGCACCCCCACCCGGGGCGGCCUCCCGGGGACGUCUGUGAGGAGAAGCAGCGAGCCCCCGGGCGGCACCUCGGCCCGUGCCGGUCCCCAGGCUGCCAGCCUUCAGGGUGGCGGGGGCAGCAGAAGAGUAAGUACCGAUACACGAGAGGAAGGAGGCUGCCAGAGUCAAACCCACAGACGCAGUUCGGUUUGGGAAGAUGGUGCUAG
rnacentral:lncRNA from 1 species